GAUUUCAACUGAAAAAGUCAUCAACAACAAAGUUGUAAAACUCAUCAAUAUCUAUAACUUUUAUUUUGGUCAUUUCUUCAUCGGACAAAGUGAUAGGAACAUUACUUACAAAAUUUACAUAUCUCUCAUAUGGUUUUAUAAGGUAUAAGAGAGAGAUAUAAAUUUUGUGAACAAUGUUACUAUCACUUUGUCAAAUUAAGAAAUGACCAAAAUAAAAGUUAUAGAUAUUGAUGAGUUAUACAACUUUGUUGUUGAUGAUUUUUUCAUUUGAAAUC
rnacentral:pre_miRNA from 1 species